AGUCGAACGGUAACAGGAAGCAGCUUGCUGCUUUGCUGACGAGUGGCGGACGGGUGAGUAAUGUCUGGGAAACUGCCUGAUGGAGGGGGAUAACUACUGGAAACGGUAGCUAAUACCGCAUAACGUCGCAAGACCAAAGAGGGGGACCUUCGGGCCUCUUGCCAUCGGAUGUGCCCAGAUGGGAUUAGCUAGUAGGUGGGGUAACGGCUCACCUAGGCGACGAUCCCUAGCUGGUCUGAGAGGAUGACCAGCCACACUGGAACUGAGACACGGUCCAGACUCCUACGGGAGGCAGCAGUGGGGAAUAUUGCACAAUGGGCGCAAGCCUGAUGCAGCCAUGCCGCGUGUAUGAAGAAGGCCUUCGGGUUGUAAAGUACUUUCAGCGGGGAGGAAGGGAGUAAAGUUAAUACCUUUGCUCAUUGACGUUACCCGCAGAAGAAGCACCGGCUAACUCCGUGCCAGCAGCCGCGGUAAUACGGAGGGUGCAAGCGUUAAUCGGAAUUACUGGGCGUAAAGCGCACGCAGGCGGUUUGUUAAGUCAGAUGUGAAAUCCCCGGGCUCAACCUGGGAACUGCAUCUGAUACUGGCAAGCUUGAGUCUCGUAGAGGGGGGUAGAAUUCCAGGUGUAGCGGUGAAAUGCGUAGAGAUCUGGAGGAAUACCGGUGGCGAACGCGGCCCCCUGGACGAACACUGACGCUCA
rnacentral:rRNA from 1 species